AAGUCAUUUUCAUUUUACAAAGAAAAAAAAAACCAAAUUCAUUUUCUCUAUCAUCGUCUUCAUUGUUUAUUUGAAUCAAUCUGUCCAUUCCGAUCGAAGAAAAACAUAUGGAUUGGUCUUGUUCAAAGUCGAACUCAGGAACCCUAAUCUCUCAAGCCGCUGGACUCUUCUUCUUCGUCAUACCCAAACUCCUCCAUACACGGCGAAUUGGCUCCUUCACCUUCCUCCGCUGCUUUUCACCACCAUCACAUUUGCCGCUUCUUCUUCAUAUUCUCUUUGUUUUAUCAAUCUCAAUUGCACAGAAGUCAAAACUCUAGAGGUCAUCGACCUAUAUCCUUGGACAAGGUAUGGCUCAGCGUGAAGACGUUUAUGACCUAGAUAGCCACUAGAUUCCAGGUUUUCUUCUACUCCAAAGCUCUAGUUUCAAUUGGGUCUAUAAAAAUCUCCCUUUUUUGUUGUUUAGUCACACUUGUUCAGUUUUCACGAGUUUCUUUUGUUCGAUUUCGCUGACAAAACCCCCUUGCUUUUGUUCAAUCGAUUUCGGCAUUACUGUUUAUGUUCAUUUCUAUUAAAAAUCUCUCCUUUCUGUUGUUUCCUCUUGACAAAACUCCACCUUGAUUUUGUUCACUUACUUUUGUAUUUGUUUACGGUAUGACCAGAACUGGAUUGUUUAUGUUGGAUUAGCAGAAAAAGGUUUGUCUUUUUGGUGUGUGAUUCUGAUUGUUUCUCUUUUAUUGAUUUAUGCAACUAGGAACUGAGUUCUUAUAUGAAUUUUCUGUGAAAAGUUUUACUAUUUUAAUGAUGCCUCAAGGAGUUGUACCAGUUCAGGGAUGGACCCCUACACCGUAAGUUGUGUCAUAAGGGUCGGCUCGGCUCAGUUUCUCCUUCAGGUACCGGAACUGAUCACAACAACUACAGAAACUUGCAGCAAAACGAGUCAGGCUAAUCUGUCCUCUUGGCGGGAUCUAUGCAUUGUUCUUCCUUGAAGGUUUGAAAGUCAUCACACGAGAAGAUGAGAACGGAAACGUCAAACUUGAGUGUCCCGCCAUUAGUAAACAACAGUUUGCAGCUGGGAGAUUUCACAUUGACUCACGGAUGACAGCUACUAAAGAUGCUGAUCGCAUUGCUAGGCUUGAUGUUAUUCGUAUUAUCUAUCAAUGAGCCUACUGCUACUUCUGUGGUUUAUGCUUUUGAAAGGAAAAGCAAUUAAAUAAUUCUUGUCUUUGAUCUUGGUGGUGGUACCUUUGAUGUCUCUGGUACUCAAUUGCAAUGUAUCUCAAAUGGUGACAAAAAGAAAAAGAAAAAAUAUCUAAUUUGGGGUAUAUGAUUAAAUUGCAAUGUA